rnacentral:rRNA from 1 species
AGUGAACGCUGGCGGUAGGCCUAACACAUGCAAGUCGAACGGCAGCACAGUAAGAGCUUGCUCUUACGGGUGGCGAGUGGCGGACGGGUGAGGAAUACAUCGGAAUCUACUUUUUCGUGGGGGAUAACGUAGGGAAACUUACGCUAAUACCGCAUACGACCUACGGGUGAAAGCAGGGGAUCUUCGGACCUUGCGCGAUUGAAUGAGCCGAUGUCGGAUUAGCUAGUUGGCGGGGUAAAGGCCCACCAAGGCGACGAUCCAUAGCUGGUCUGAGAGGAUGAUCAGCCACACUGGAACUGAGACACGGUCCAGACUCCUACGGGAGGCAGCAGUGGGGAAUAUUGGACAAUGGGCGCGAGCCUGAUCCAGCCAUACCGCGUGGGUGAAGAAGGCCUUCGGGUUGUAAAGCCCUUUUGUUGGGAAAGAAAAGCAGCAGGUUAAUACCCCGCUGUUCUGACGGUACCCAAAGAAUAAGCACCGGCUAACUUCGUG